ensembl:snoRNA
UGCAGCUCAGUCAAAUUCGGUGCCUGUCCCCCCAUGGCAGGGACCGGCCAAUGGCUGCCACAGUGACCUCCGUGCCCACGAGCCCUGUGUCCCCUCCUGUGGGACCCAGGGGGUCAAUCCCACUGGAGACACCA